ACGUACACUCCUGCGGGAGGCAGCAGUGGGGAAUAUUGCACAAUGGGCGCAAGCCUGAUGCAGCCAUGCCGCGUGUAUGAAGAAGGCCUUCGGGUUGUAAAGUACUUUCAGCGGGGAGGAAGGCGAUAAGGUUAAUAACCUUGUCGAUUGACGUUACCCGCAGAAGAAGCACCGGCUAACUCCGUGCCAGCAGCCGCGGUAAUACGGAGGGUGCAAGCGUUAAUCGGAAUUACUGGGCGUAAAGCGCACGCAGGCGGUCUGUCAAGUCGGAUGUGAAAUCCCCGGGCUCAACCUGGGAACUGCAUUCGAAACUGGCAGGCUAGGGUCUUGUAGAGGGGGGUAGAAUUCCAGGUGUAGCGGUGAAAUGCGUAGAGAUCUGGAGGAAUACCGGUGGCGAAGGCGGCCCCCUGGACAAAGACUGACGCUCAGGUGCGAAAGCGUGGGGAGCAAACAGGAUUAGAUACCCGAGUAGUCC
rnacentral:rRNA from 1 species